rnacentral:rRNA from 1 species
GAUCCUGGCUCAGGACGAACGCUGGCGGCGUGCUUAACACAUGCAAGUCGAACGGGAAGAAAAGAAAGAGCUUGCUCUUUUUUUGGAAUCUAGUGGCAAACGGGUGAGUAACACGUAAACAACCUGCCUUCAGGAUGGGGACAACAGACGGAAACGACUGCUAAUACCGAAUACCUUCCAAUUUCCGCAUGGAGAUAGGAAGAAAGGGUGGCCUCUACUUGUAAGCUAUCGCCUGAAGAGGGGUUUGCGUCUGAUUAG